CUAUCUCUGACAGACCAGGAGCAGUUCAUACCUGCUGCUAAGAUUUUUGCUACAGAUACAAAAGAAAGAAGAUCCUUGUGCUUUCUGUCUGUCUGGUUGUGGCAGUCAAGAUUGAAUGGGGGAAUUCUAAA
rnacentral:snoRNA from 1 species